rnacentral:rRNA from 1 species
GAGGAAUAUUGGUCAAUGGGCGCAAGCCUGAACCAGCCAAGUAGCGUGCAGGAAGACGGCCCUAUGGGUUGUAAACUGCUUUUAUACGAGAGUAAUUCGAUGCACGUGUGCGUUAUUGCAUGUAUCGUAUGAAUAAGGACCGGCUAAUUCCGUGCCAGCAGCCGCGGUAAUACGGAAGGUCCAGGCGUUAUCCGGAUUUAUUGGGUUUAAAGGGAGUGUAGGCGGUUUGUUAAGCGUGUUGUGAAAUUUAGGUGCUCAACAUUUAACUUGCAGCGCGAACUGUCAGACUUGAGUACACGCAACGUAUGCGGAAUUCAUGGUGUAGCGGUGAAAUGCUUAGAUAUCAUGAAGAACUCCGAUUGCGAAGGCAGCAUACGGGAGUGUAACUGACGCUUAAGCUCGAAGGUGCGGGUAUCGAACAGGAUUAGAUACCCUGGUAGUCCGCACAGUAAACGAUGGAUGCCCGCUGUUAGCGCCUGGCGUUAGCGGCUAAGCGAAAGCAUUAAGCAUCCCACCUGGGGAGUACGCCGGCAACGGUG